rnacentral:lncRNA from 1 species
GAAUUUUUGCACAGAGAAGGAUGUAACCGCAGACGCUUCUGCUAAAUGAAAUUACUGCAAUGAUUUCUGGUUUGUACAGCUUCUGAGAAACACUGAGGAAUGCAUUACAUCUCGGGUGGUGAGGACUUAUAGUAAGUGUCCUCACUGCUGGGAAAGCUACAGAAGAAACAUGAGACAUCUUUUGCACCAAGCAGUGGUUUAGAUGGAGUACAUGCAAGCUGGAACGCAGGGUGUGUGGGGUGCAUGCUGGGAGGGGGCUGCCUUCCUCUGUCUUCCCAGAAAAGCCAUUUCCGUAAGGAUGUGAGCAAAUGACACAGAUGUGAUGGAUAUGAAGGACUGCAUGAGAAGCAGUGAAUACGUAUUAUCUUGAGGAGGAGACAUUUCUGCA